rnacentral:tRNA from 1 species
GGAAACGUGCCUGAAUUACAAAGGAUUAUUGUGAUAGAAUAAACUACAGAGGUUAAAAUCCUCUCGCUUCCC